UGGGGAUGACGUCAAAUCAUCAUGCCCCUUAUGACCUGGGCUACAAACGUGAUACAAUGGCUGGAACAAAGGGAGGCGAAGGGGUGACCUGGAGCGAAACCCAAAAAUACAGUCUCAGUUCGGAUUGAAGUCUGAACUCGACUUCAUGAAGUCGGAAUCGCUAGUAAUCGCGGAUCAGAACGCCGCGGUGAAUACGUUCUCGGGGUUU
rnacentral:rRNA from 1 species